AUUGAACGCUGGCGGCAGGCCUAACGCAUGCAAGUCGAGCGGGGUUUUCGGACCUAGCGGCGGACGGGUGAGUAAUGCGUAGGAAGCUGCCCGAUAGAGGGGGAUACCAGUUGGAAACGACUGUUAAUACCGCAUAAUGUCUACGGACCAAAGUGUGGGACCUUCGGGCCACAUGCUAUCGGAUGCGCCUACGUGGGAUUAGCUAGUUGGUGAGGUAAUGGCUCACCAAGGCGACGAUCUCUAGCUGGUUUGAGAGGAUGAUCAGCCACACUGGAAGUGAGACACGGUCCAGACUCCUACGGGAGGCAGCAGUGGGGAAUAUUGGACAAUGGGCGCAAGCCUGAUCCAGCCAUGCCGCCUGUGUGAAGAAGGCCUUCGGGUUGUAAAGCACUUUCAGCGGGGAGGAAGGGAUGUAUGUUAAUAGCAUGCAUUUUUGACGUUACUCGCAGAAGAAGCACCGGCUAACUCUGUGCCAGCCGCCGCGGUAACAC
rnacentral:rRNA from 1 species